rnacentral:rRNA from 1 species
AUGGUUCACUCCUAUCUCAUGGACAUGCUUCUCUUCUUCCAGCAUGAGAAGGAAGCAAACACUGGCGAGUCCCUGGACAUUUCUCAUGUUAUGUGGUCUGAGCUCUUAUCUGCUAUCUCUGAGCGCAAGUGCCCGAUCUAUGGACCGUUCAUCAUGUUGCUCAUUGAGAAGGCCUGGGAUCAGGUCUAUCCCAAGGUUAUGCUAGAGACUGGAGAGUUGGUGUCUCAUGAGAUCAAGCGUCUGAGGAAGAAGGACAACUGGGGCACCCAUGUCCCUAAAACUGGGGGUACAUCUUCUGCUGCUGCCGUGGAGACCGAGGAGGAGGCUUAG